GUUGAAAAAUUAGCGGAUGACUUGUGGCUGGGGGUGAAAGGCCAAUCAAACCGGGAGAUAGCUGGUUCUCCCCGAAAGCUAUUUAGGUAGCGCCUCGUGAAUUCAUCUCCGGGGGUAGAGCACUGUUUCGGCAAGGGGGUCAUCCCGACUUACCAACCCGAUGCAAACUGCGAAUACCGGAGAAUGUUAUCACGGGAGACACACGGCGGGUGCUAACGUCCGUCGUGAAGAGGGAAACAACCCAGACCGCCAGCUAAGGUCCCAAAGUCAUGGUUAAGUGGGAAACGAUGUGGGAAGGCCCAGACAGCCAGGAUGUUGGCUUAGAAGCAGCCAUCAUUUAAAGAAAGCGUAAUAGCUCACUGGUCGAGUCGGCCUGCGCGGAAGAUGUAACGGGGCUAAACCAUGCACCGAAGCUGCGGCAGCGACGCUUAUGCGUUGUUGGGUAGGGGAGCGUUCUGUAAGCCUGCGAAGGUGUGCUGUGAGGCAUGCUGGAGGUAUCAGAAGUGCGAAUGCUGACAUAAGUAACGAUAAAGCGGGUGAAAAGCCCGCUCGCCGGAAGACCAAGGGUUCCUGUCCAACGUUAAUCGGGGCAGGGUGAGUCGACCCCUAAGGCGAGGCCGAAAGGCGUAGUCGAUGGGAAACAGGUUAAUAUUCCUGUACUUGGUGUUACUGCGAAGGGGGGACGGAGAAGGCUAUGUUGGCCGGGCGACGGUUGUCCCGGUUUAAGCGUGUAGGCUGGUUUUCCAGGCAAAUCCGGAAAACCAAGGCUGAGGCGUGAUGACGAGGCACUACGGUGCUGAAGCAACAAAUGCCCUGCUUCCAGGAAAAGCCUCUAAGCAUCAGGUAACAUCAAAUCGUACCCCAAACCGACACAGGUGGUCAGGUAGAGAAUACCAAGGCGCUUGAGAGAACUCGGGUGAAGGAACUAGGCAAAAUGGUGCCGUAACUUCGGGAGAAGGCACGCUGAUAUGUAGGUGAAGCGACUUGCUCGUGGAGCUGAAAUCAGUCGAAGAUACCAGCUGGCUGCAACUGUUUAUUAAAAACACAGCACUGUGCAAACACGAAAGUGGACGUAUACGGUGUGACGCCUGCCCGGUGCCGGAAGGUUAAUUGAUGGGGUUAGCGGUAACGCGAAGCUCUUGAUCGAAGCCCCGGUAAACGGCGGCCGUAACUAUAACGGUCCUAAGGUAGCGAAAUUCCUUGUCGGGUAAGUUCCGACCUGCACGAAUGGCGUAAUGAUGGCCAGGCUGUCUCCACCCGAGACUCAGUGAAAUUGAACUCGCUGUGAAGAUGCAGUGUACCCGCGGCAAGACGGAAAGACCCCGUGAACCUUUACUAUAGCUUGACACUGAACAUUGAGCCUUGAUGUGUAGGAUAGGUGGGAGGCUUUGAAGUGUGGACGCCAGUCUGCAUGGAGCCGACCUUGAAAUACCACCCUUUAAUGUUUGAUGUUCUAACGUUGGCCCCUAAUCGGGGUUGCGGACAGUGUCUGGUGGGUAGUUUGACUGGGGCGGUCUCCUCCUAAAGAGUAACGGAGGAGCACGAAGGUUGGCUAAUCCUGGUCGGACAUCAGGAGGUUAGUGCAAUGGCAUAAGCCAGCUUGACUGCGAGCGUGACGGCGCGAGCAGGUGCGAAAGCAGGUCAUAGUGAUCCGGUGGUUCUGAAUGGAAGGGCCAUCGCUCAACGGAUAAAAGGUACUCCGGGGAUAACAGGCUGAUACCGCCCAAGAGUUCAUAUCGACGGCGGUGUUUGGCACCUCGAUGUCGGCUCAUCACAUCCUGGGGCUGAAGUAGGUCCCAAGGGUAUGGCUGUUCGCCAUUUAAAGUGGUACGCGAGCUGGGUUUAGAACGUCGUGAGACAGUUCGGUCCCUAUCUGCCGUGGGCGCUGGAGAACUGAGGGGGGCUGCUCCUAGUACGAGAGGACCGGAGUGGACGCAUCACUGGUGUUCGGGUUGUCAUGCCAAUGGCACUGCCCGGUAGCUAAAUGCGGAAGAGAUAAGUGCUGAAAGCAUCUAAGCACGAAACUUGCCCCGAGAUGAGUUCUCCCUGAGACUUAGAGUCUCCUGAAGGAACGUUGAAGACGACGACGUUGAUAGGCCGGGUGUGUAAGCGCAGCGAUGCGUUGAGCUAACCGGUACUAAUGAACCGUGAGGCUUAACCUU
rnacentral:rRNA from 1 species